rnacentral:misc_RNA from 1 species
GGAUGAACUCACUAAGACUUCUGAGAAACAAGUCAAGGGAAACCAAUAGCAGUAUGAGAAUUCUUAUGCAGAUGUAAACCAAGAAAUUUGAAAAGCAUAGUUGUAUUGCUAUGUCUGCAUAUAGACCUUGUGCUAAUGACACAUGCACAAUAAUGCACAAAUAACAGAGACACCAAAACAAUACUCUUACACUAGAAAUAUGAAUUACAUGUAGAUGCACUGCUCAU